ensembl:lncRNA
CAUAUUUAAGGUUAGAACUACCUUUCUAAGUGUUCUGAUACUUCUCCCAGUCAUAUUUAAGGUUAGAACUACCUUUCUAAGUGUUCUGAUACUUCUCCCAGUCAUAUUUAAGGUUAGAACUACCUUUCUAAGUGUUCUGACACUUCUCCCAGUCAUAUUUAAGGUUAGAACUACCUUUCUAAGUGUUCUGAUACUUCUCCCAGUCAUAUUUAAGGUUAGAACUAUCUUUCUAAGUGUUCUGACACUUCUCCCAGUCAUAUUUAAGGUUAGAACUACCUCUCUAAGUGUUCUGAUACUUCUCCCAGUCAUAUUUAAGGUUAGAACUACCUCUCUAAGUGUUCUGACACUUCUCCCAGUCAUAUUUAAGGUUAGAACUACCUCUCUAAGUGUUCUGAUACUUCUCCCAGUCAUAUUUAAGGUUAGAACUACCUCUCUAAGUGUUCUGAUACUUCUCCCAGUCAUAUUUAAGGUUAGAACUACCUCUCUAAGUGUUCUGAUACUUCUAGCUUGGAGUUGUAUUUUGAUGAUACAAAGAGUCUCUUGGUCGUCCUUUCUUUUUGAUAACACAUACUGUAUUGACUUGUUUUCAUUUUAACCUUUAUUUAACUAGGCAGAUGUAACGGCCGUUGUUGGUGGAAGAAGAGGAGGACCAAUGCGCAGCGUGAUGAAGAGGAGGACGCCUGUGACACCUAUUCCCUAUAUAGUGCACUACAUUUCACCUUAUUCCCUAUAUAGUGCACUACAUUUCACCUUAUUCCCUAUAUAGUGCACUACAUUUCACCUUAUUCCCUAUAUGGUGCACUACAUUUCACCCUAUUCCCUACAUAGUGCACUACAUUACACCUUAUUCCCUAUAUGGUGCACUACAUUUCACCUUAUUCCCUAUAUAGUGCACUACAUUUCACCCUAUUCCCUACAUAGUGCACUACAUUUCACCUUAUUCCCAAUAUAAUGCACUAUAUUUCACCUUAUUCCCUAUAUAGUGCACUACAUUUCACCCUAAUCCCAAAUGGUGCACUACAUUUCACCCUAUUCCCUACAUAGUGCACUACAUUACACCUUAUUCCCUACAUAGUGCACUACAAAUAACCUUAUUCCCUAUAUAGUGCACUACAUUUCACCCUGAUCCCUAUAUGGUGCACUACAUUUCACCCUAUUCCCUACAUAGUGCACUACAUUACACCUUAUUCCCUACAUAGUGCACUACAAAUAACCUUAUUCCCUAUAUAGUGCACUACAUUUCACCUUAUUCCCUAUAUAGUGUACUACAUUUCACCUUAUUCCCU